GACGAACGCUGGCGGCGUGCUUAACAUAUGCAGGUCGAACGGAAAGGCCCUGCUUUUGUGGGGUGCUCGAGUGGCGAACGGGUGAGUAACACGUGAGUAACCUGCCCUUGACUUUGGGAUAACUUCAGGAAACUGGGGCUAAUACCGGAUAGGAGCUCCUGCUGCAUGGUGGGGGUUGGAAAGUUUCGGCGGUUGGGGAUGGACUCGCGGCUUAUCAGCUUGUUGGUGGGGUAGUGGCUUACCAAGGCUUUGACGGGUAGCCGGCCUGAGAGGGUGACCGGCCACAUUGGGACUGAGAUACGGCCCAGACUCCUACGGGAGGCAGCAGUGGGGAAUAUUGCACAAUGGGCGGAAGCCUGAUGCAGCAACGCCGCGUGCGGGAUGACGGCCUUCGGGUUGUAAACCGCUUUCGCCUGUGACGAAGCGUGAGUGACGGUAAUGGGUAAAGAAGCACCGGCUAACUACGUG
rnacentral:rRNA from 1 species